rnacentral:rRNA from 1 species
GUGGGGAAUAUUGGACAAUGGGGGGAACCCUGAUCCAGCCAUGCCGCGUGUGUGAAGAAGGCCUUUUGGUUGUAAAGCACUUUAAGCGAGGAGGAGGCUACCGAAAUUAAUACUCUUGGAUAGUGGACGUUACUCGCAGAAUAAGCACCGGCUAACUCUGUGCCAGCAGCCGCGGUAAUACAGAGGGUGCAAGCGUUAAUCGGAUUUACUGGGCGUAAAGCGCGCGUAGGUGGCCAAUUAAGUCAAAUGUGAAAUCCCCGAGCUUAACUUGGGAAUUGCAUUCGAUACUGGUUGGCUAGAGUAUGGGAGAGGAUGGUAGAAUUCCAGGUGUAGCGGUGAAAUGCGUAGAGAUCUGGAGGAAUACCGAUGGCGAAGGCAGCCAUCUGGCCUAAUACUGACACUGAGGUGCGAAAGCGUGGGGAGCAAACAGGAUUAGAUACCCCUGUAGUCC